CAGUAGCCACGGUAAUACGUAGGGUGCAAGCGUUAAUCGGAAUUACUGGGCGUAAAGCGUGCGCAGGCGGUUAUAUAAGACAGUCGUGAAAUCCCCGGGCUCAACCUGGGAACUGCGAUUGUGACUGUAUGGCUAGAGUGUGUCAGAGGGGGGUAGAAUUCCACGUGUAGCAGUGAAAUGCGUAGAUAUGUGGAGGAAUACCGAUGGCGAAGGCAGCCCCCUGGGAUAACACUGACGCUCAUGCACGAAAGCGUGGGGAGCAAACAGGAUUAGAUACCCCGGUAGUCCCUGUCUCUUAUAC
rnacentral:rRNA from 1 species